UACAAGACUGCGUUCAGUUCUCAGCACCA
rnacentral:piRNA from 1 species